AUGAGAGUCAACACCAUCGUCGAGGAGGCUGAUGCGAGCUACAUAGUCAACUCCAGGAUGCUGAUGCAGCUAAAGAUGCUCUCCGAGGCUAUGUACAGAGGACACCGCAUGCUGGACACCCUGAGGUACCGAACUCUCCCAGACAGUGCAGGCUUCGACAAGGUUAGCAUCAACGACUCACCUAGCUGCAGCUUGUAUUUAGCCAUUCCUUUCAAGCGUCCUCGAACAACAACUGAGAAGGAUGUCCAGGCAAUGCGCCUCGAGUCACAUGGUGCCUUGCAGUGGCGGAGCGUGAAGGUCACCGUUGCUAACAUGGUAGAAUUUGUUGUGCUUCUGGAUGGAUGCGAGCACAUGUCUCGUAGGUCAUAUGACAUUUAUCUCUAUACCGACAACUUCAUGUUCGGCCGACAUGCUGAAAAGCAAAAGUUUUUUAGCUUCUUGUUGCAACACAACCCUCCUGGUGAUGCACCAGCCAUUCUUUCGAUCAUAGGUGGUGUCAAGGUUGGGAAGAAAACUUUGGUUGCUCACGUGUGUGGCGACGAAAGGGUUUGCUCCCGCUUCUCUUCUGUUUUGCACCUGAAUGGAGACAGCCUCUUGAGAAUACGGGACCACGGGAGGACAACAUUUGGGAUGACGAUGUUGGUAGUUAUUGAGUUUGAUUCUGAUGUAUGCGAUGAAGACUGGAAAGUCUUCUACUCAUUUUCCAUAAGAAUGUGCAGAGGAAGCAAAAUCAUCAUUGUAGGUAGAAUUCAAAGAUUAGCCCGAUUUGGAUCGGUGAAACCGAUUCUCAUAAGUGUUCUGUCUUAUGAUGAGUUGAGGUACCUCUUUAAGACAAUGGCCUUCGGGAGUGUAGACCCGGCAGAACAUCCACGGCUAGUACAAAUAGCACAAAUAGCAGAUGAAGUUCCCAAGGAGUUGCACAAGCAAGGCUCACUAAUCGCCACAAAUAUUUUUGCGUAUGCGUUGAGAAUGAACUUCAGUGUUCAGUUUUGGCCUUGCAUAUUGGACAAGGGGACAAGAUAUGUUAAAAGAAACCUGUCCCUGUAUGGUGUGCACCCAAGCACGCUUGUAGAACAAGGCCAUCCAGUGGACAUAACGACAUUGCUUUGCAUCCACUUAGCAUGA
rnacentral:rRNA from 1 species